rnacentral:rRNA from 1 species
UACGGGGGGGGCAAGCGUUGUUCGGAAUUACGUGGGCGUAAAGGGCUCGUAGGCGGCCAACUAAGUCGGACGUGAAAUCCCCAGGCUCAACCUGGGAACUGCGUCCGAUACUGGAUGGCUUGAAUCCGGGAGAGGGAUGCAGAAUUCCAGGUGUAGCGGUGAAAUGCGUAGAUAUCUGGAGGAAUACCGGUGGCGAAGGCGGCAUCCUGGACCGGCAUUGACGCUGAGGAGCGAAAGCCAGGGGAGCAAACGGG